AAAAUGUGUGUUUUGUGACUGGUGAUUCCAUUACAUGUUCUCCAUUCUCUUAACUUUUCGUAAUCCGGAUUACUGUGUGCAUUGGUAAAUAAUUGCAGUGCAAUGGAUUGUUUGGAAGAACUUAAAAUACCUGCAUCUUACUGGUGCGCAACUGGAGAUGAAGAUAGUAUCCUUCUUGCGACAAGGCCUUGGUGCAGGGAGCUAAGUGAUCUGGGAAUGCUGCCCACCUGGUUUCCACAACAUGACCAGCUCUCACCAGAGGAGGUGCAGUCGGCCGUCCGAGAACGACGCCCGCCUGACCCCAGCUGGACCUUUGUCAACCUCUGGACGAUCCCGAAGCCGGACGACAGGCCGAGCCUGCUGCCGCGACCGCAGCCAGAGUCGGCGCCGGACGUGCUCCG